CGGCCCCUGUCAUGUGGAGGGGGAGGCAAGUUGGCGCCCCUGCCUGCCUCACGUGACGGGGCACUCCCACCCCCUCCAACGUGCCACACAUGCGCAGAACACCCGCAAGAGACACGGACGCAGAAGCUGUCAGACGUGCUGUUAAUCUGGUGGUAAUAUUGGUCAUGCAGAAGACCAGAAAGAAGAGUAUAUCAUGGAUACUUUCUGCUGAACGAAGUACUGAUAGUCUGACAAAAUGUUGGGCAAAUACCUUUUAUUUCUGAAUAUGUGUUGACUGCUUAGAGCCCUUUGAACUUUUCAGAAAAGGGGAGUGUAAAUAUCUAAAUAAAUAAAUAAAUAACUACUGCAUGUUG